rnacentral:rRNA from 1 species
UUAAGCGACUAAGCGUACACGGUGGAUGCCCUGGCAGUCAGAGGCGAUGAAGGACGUGCUAAUCUGCGAAAAGCGUCGGUAAGGUGAUAUGAACCGUUAUAACCGGCGAUGUCCGAAUGGGGAAACCCAGUGCAAUUCGUUGCACUAUCGUUAACUGAAUACAUAGGUUAACGAGGCGAACCGGGGGAACUGAAACAUCUAAGUACCCCGAGGAAAAGAAAUCAACCGAGAUUCCCCCAGUAGCGGCGAGCGAACGGGGAGCAGCCCAGAGUCUGAAUCAGCUUGUGUGUUAGUGGAACGGUCUGGAAAGUCCGACGGUACAGGGUGAUAGUCCCGUACACCAAAAUGCACAGGCUGUGAACUCGAAGAGUAGGGCGGGACACGUGGUAUCCUGUCUGAAUAUGGGGGGACCAUCCUCCAAGGCUAAAUACUCCUGACUGACCGAUAGUGAACCAGUACCGUGAGGGAAAGGCGAAAAGAACCCCGGCGAGGGGAGUGAAAAAGAACCUGAAACCGUGUACGUACAAGCAGUGGGAGCACCUUCGGGUGUGACUGCGUACCUUUUGUAUAAUGGGUCAGCGACUUAUAUUCUGUAGCAAGGUUAACCGUAUAGGGGAGCCGCAGGGAAACCGAGUCUUAACUGGGCGUUAAGUUGCAGGGUAUAGACCCGAAACCCGGUGAUCUAGCCAUGGGCAGGUUGAAGGUUGGGUAACACUAACUGGAGGACCGAACCGACUAAUGUUGAAAAAUUAGCGGAUGACUUGUGGCUGGGGGUGAAAGGCCAAUCAAACCGGGAGAUAGCUGGUUCUCCCCGAAAGCUAUUUAGGUAGCGCCUCGUGAACUCAUCUUCGGGGGUAGAGCACUGUUUCGGCUAGGGGGUCAUCCCGACUUACCAACCCGAUGCAAACUACGAAUACCGAAGAAUGUUAUCACGGGAGACACACGGCGGGUGCUAACGUCCGUCGUGAAGAGGGAAACAACCCAGACCGCCAGCUAAGGUCCCAAAGUCAUGGUUAAGUGGGAAACGAUGUGGGAAGGCACAGACAGCCAGGAUGUUGGCUUAGAAGCAGCCAUCAUUUAAAGAAAGCGUAAUAGCUCACUGGUCGAGUCGGCCUGCGCGGAAGAUGUAACGGGGCUAAACCAUGCACCGAAGCUGCGGCAGCGACACUAUGUGUUGUUGGGUAGGGGAGCGUUCUGUAAGCCUGCGAAGGUGUGCUGUGAGGCAUGCUGGAGGUAUCAGAAGUGCGAAUGCUGACAUAAGUAACGAUAAAGCGGGUGAAAAGCCCGCUCGCCGGAAGACCAAGGGUUCCUGUCCAACGUUAAUCGGGGCAGGGUGAGUCGACCCCUAAGGCGAGGCCGAAAGGCGUAGUCGAUGGGAAACAGGUUAAUAUUCCUGUACUUGGUGUUACUGCGAAGGGGGGACGGAGAAGGCUAUGUUAGCCGGGCGACGGUUGUCCCGGUUUAAGCAUGUAGGCUGAUUGUCCAGGCAAAUCCGGAUAAUCAAGGCUGAGGUGUGAUGACGAGGCACUACGGUGCUGAAGUAACAAAUGCCCUGCUUCCAGGAAAAGCCUCUAAGCAUCAGGUAACAUCAAAUCGUACCCCAAACCGACACAGGUGGUCAGGUAGAGAAUACCAAGGCGCUUGAGAGAACUCGGGUGAAGGAACUAGGCAAAAUGGUGCCGUAACUUCGGGAGAAGGCACGCUGGUGUGUAGGUGAAGCCCCUGCGGGUGGAGCUGAGACCAGUCGAAGAUACCAGCUGGCUGCAACUGUUUAUUAAAAACACAGCACUGUGCAAACACGAAAGUGGACGUAUACGGUGUGACGCCUGCCCGGUGCCGGAAGGUUAAUUGAUGGGGUUAUCCGUAAGGAGAAGCUCUUGAUCGAAGCCCCGGUAAACGGCGGCCGUAACUAUAACGGUCCUAAGGUAGCGAAAUUCCUUGUCGGGUAAGUUCCGACCUGCACGAAUGGCGUAAUGAUGGCCAGGCUGUCUCCACCCGAGACUCAGUGAAAUUGAACUCGCUGUGAAGAUGCAGUGUACCCGCGGCAAGACGGAAAGACCCCGUGAACCUUUACUAUAGCUUGACACUGAACAUUGAGCCUUGAUGUGUAGGAUAGGUGGGAGGCUUUGAAGCGUGGACGCCAGUCUGCGUGGAGCCAACCUUGAAAUACCACCCUUUAAUGUUUGAUGUUCUAACGUUGGCCCCUUACCGGGGUUGCGGACAGUGUCUGGUGGGUAGUUUGACUGGGGCGGUCUCCUCCCAAAGCGUAACGGAGGAGCACGAAGGUUAGCUAAUCCUGGUCGGACAUCAGGAGGUUAGUGCAAUGGCAUAAGCUAGCUUGACUGCGAGCGUGACGGCGCGAGCAGGUGCGAAAGCAGGUCAUAGUGAUCCGGUGGUUCUGAAUGGAAGGGCCAUCGCUCAACGGAUAAAAGGUACUCCGGGGAUAACAGGCUGAUACCGCCCAAGAGUUCAUAUCGACGGCGGUGUUUGGCACCUCGAUGUCGGCUCAUCACAUCCUGGGGCUGAAGUAGGUCCCAAGGGUAUGGCUGUUCGCCAUUUAAAGUGGUACGCGAGCUGGGUUUAGAACGUCGUGAGACAGUUCGGUCCCUAUCUGCCGUGGGCGCUGGAGAAUUGAGGGGGGCUGCUCCUAGUACGAGAGGACCGGAGUGGACGCAUCACUGGUGUUCGGGUUGUCAUGCCAAUGGCACUGCCCGGUAGCUAAAUGCGGAAGAGAUAAGUGCUGAAAGCAUCUAAGCACGAAACUUGCCCCGAGAUGAGUUCUCCCUGAGACUUUAAGUCUCCUGAAGGAACGUUGAAGACGACGACGUUGAUAGGCCGGGUGUGUAAGCGCAGCGAUGCGUUGAGCUAACCGGUACUAAUGAACCGUGAGGCUUAACCUU